CAGCCAGCCAGCGCCACGGCAGCAGGAGGCCUGGGGGCGAGGGGUGGGUGAGGGGCCAGGUCCAGGCCUGGUACAGCCCCUUCCCUCUGGAGCCUCUGAAUAACCUCAUCUGCCCUUCAAGGUCUAGUCCAAGGGCCAUCUCCUACAGGAAGCCUACCCUGAUUGCCCCAGGCAGGGUGGGGCUGCAGGGAUUGCUCAGCCCCUGGCACAUAGUGGGAAGUCCUUGGAAAGUCUUAGGGCCAGGGCAGGAUGAGGAAGGGGUAGGUUGGGCAGGCAAGGCCCUAGGCCUCCACCCAAGACCUCCACGCCCCCUCAACUGAGCAGCUGCACGCACUGUGAUUUCUUUUCUAUCUGGACUUCCCAUCUGAGAUGGCAUUUGAUGGAAGCUUUCUGCCGUUAAAAGAUAGUCUGGCGACUGUGGGUCCAGGAGAAGCCCUGGCUGCCCCAGCUAGAGACUGGGCCUGUGGCUAGAGGGGCAGGCCCUGCCUGGAGGUGCCCAGCAAGGUGCUGACUGAGUGGGGCCGGGAUGCCAGAUCUCUUGCCUCUCAGCCCAGGAUCUGUUCUGGGACAAAUCAUUCCCUUUCCACCCACGUCUACCUUGGCGGCACCCACCCCUCCCACCAGCCUGCACACAGGAGUGCGGGGCCAUACUUGCCAAGGGCGUAGAGGGACAGGGAUCCGAACACUGCCAUGAGCUGGGGUGUGGCCCCCAGAGCCCCACGAACGCCUGGGGGAGCAAUCUCAGACACGUACACCUGCAAGACACAGCCGCCGCACCAGGUUUUGCUGAAAAUACUGGUUCCUAGGCCCGGCCGAGAUGGGAGAGUCAGCCCCUGUGAACCCCGGAAAGUGGGAAGUGGAGGCUUUCUGGUGGGGCUGAGUCCUGGUCAUGACUCACUGCAAGACCUUGGGCGGCCUGCCUGAUCUCUCUCUGUCCUCAGUUUCCCUAACUGUGACGUGGGUGGAAGUACGCAGCUCGGAAAUGGGCAGCAUGACGCUGGGAAGGAGGCCCGAGGGCUCCCAGGCUUCAGGGCUGAGCAGGAGAAUUCUGUGACUUGAAGGUACUGGGCUUUAAGAUUUGGAGGUUCUUAAGUUCCCUGUACAGCAGCAACUGGGACCCCCUCUGGACUCUGCUAACUGGUAGUGGGACCUGGGCACAUUGCCCAGCCUGUCUGCACCUCAGUUUCUUCAGCUGUCUUAUGGGGAGAGCGCAAGUUCUACCUCGUGGCGUUGGCCCUGAGAAUCAAUGAACGUUCAGUGCCCAACACAUGCCUGGCACAUAGGAAGUGCUCAGUAAACCUUGGGAAUUUUUAUCUUAACUACUAUGUUAACAACUCUACAUAUGAGGCUAUUAAGAUUAUAAUUUUAGACUCUGGGACUCUGGGAUCUUCCUCUCCAUCAGCCCACAAUCUGUCCUGCGGACUCUCCUUGCCCCAGCCAGUGCCUCUCCCCACUGACACCUGAUACCCUUGCCCCC
rnacentral:lncRNA from 10 species